GAUGAACGCUGGCGGCGUGCCUAAUACAUGCAAGUCGAGCGAACAGACGAGGAGCUUACUCCUCUGACGUUAGCGGCGGACGGGUGAGUAACACGUGGAUAACCUACCUAUAAGACUGGGAUAACUUCGGGAAACCGGAGCUAAUACCGGAUAACAUGUUGAACCGCAUGGUUCAACAGUGAAAGACGGUCUUGCUGUCACUUAUAGAUGGAUCCGCGUCGCAUUAGCUAGUUGGUAAGGUAACGGCUUACCAAGGCAACGAUGCGUAGCCGACCUGAGAGGGUGAUCGGCCACACUGGAACUGAGACACGGUCCAGACUCCUACGGGAGGCAGCAGUAGGGAAUCUUCCGCAAUGGGCGAAAGCCUGACGGAGCAACGCCGCGUGAGUGAAGAAGGUCUUCGGAUCGUAAAACUCUGUUAUUAGGGAAGAACAAAUGUGUAAGUAACUAUGCACGUCUUGACGGUACCUAAUCAGAAAGCCACGGCUAACUACGUGCCAGCAGCCGCGGUAAUACGUAGGUGGCAAGCGUUAUCCGGAAUUAUUGGGCGUAAAGCGCGCGUAGGCGGUUUUUUAAGUCUGAUGUGAAAGCCCACGGCUCAACCGUGGAGGGUCAUUGGAAACUGGAAAACUUGAGUGCAGAAGAGGAAAGUGGAAUUCCAUGUGUAGCGGUGAAAUGCGCAGAGAUAUGGAGGAACACCAGUGGCGAAGGCGACUUUCUGGUCUGUAACUGACGCUGAUGUGCGAAAGCGUGGGGAUCAAACAGGAUUAGAUACCCUGGUAGUCCACGCCGUAAACGAUGAGUGCUAAGUGUUAGGGGGUUUCCGCCCCUUAGUGCUGCAGCUAACGCAUUAAGCACUCCGCCUGGGGAGUACGACCGCAAGGUUGAAACUCAAAGGAAUUGACGGGGACCCGCACAAGCGGUGGAGCAUGUGGUUUAAUUCGAAGCAACGCGAAGAACCUUACCAAAUCUUGACAUCCUCUGACCCCUCUAGAGAUAGAGUUUUCCCCUUCGGGGGACAGAGUGACAGGUGGUGCAUGGUUGUCGUCAGCUCGUGUCGUGAGAUGUUGGGUUAAGUCCCGCAACGAGCGCAACCCUUAAGCUUAGUUGCCAUCAUUAAGUUGGGCACUCUAAGUUGACUGCCGGUGACAAACCGGAGGAAGGGGGGGAUGACGUCAAAUCAUCAUGCCCCUUAUGAUUUGGGCUACACACGUGCUACAAUGGACAAUACAAAGGGUAGCGAAACCGCGAGGUCAAGCAAAUCCCAUAAAGUUGUUCUCAGUUCGGAUGGUAGUCGGCAACUGGACUACAUGAAGCGGGAAUCGCUAGUAAUCGUAGAUCAGCAGGCUACGGGGAAUAGGUUCCGGGGUCU
rnacentral:rRNA from 1 species